rnacentral:rRNA from 1 species
GAAGAGCACUCCUACGGGAGGCAGCAGUGGGGAAUAGUUGCACAAUGGGGCGCAAGCCUGAUGCAGCCAUGCCGCGUGUAUGAAGAAGGCCUUCGGGUUGUAAAGUACUUUCAGCAGUGAGGAAGGUGGGUAUGUUAAUAGCAUACUCAUUUGACGUUAGCUGCAGAAGAAGCACCGGCUAACUCCGUGCCAGCAGCCGCGGUAAUACGGAGGGUGCGAGCGUUAAUCGGAAUUACUGGGCGUAAAAGCGCAUGCAGGUGGUUUGUUAAGUCAGAUGUGAAAGCCCGGGGCUCAACCUCGGAAUUGCAUUUGAAAACUGGCAAACUAGAGUACUGUAGAGGGGGUAGAAUUUCAGGUGUAGCGGUGAAAUGCGUAGAGAUCUGAAGGAAUACCGGUGGCGAAGGCGGCCCCCUGGACAGAUACUGACACUCAGAUGCGAAAGCGUGGGGAGCAAACAGGAUUAGAUACCCUGGUAG